AAAGAGGGAGCUGCAGGGCAGAGGAGUUCAGUUCUCUGCUGGGAGCCCAGGAAGGAAGGACUGUGUCUUUGGAGGGCUGAGAGAACUGCCAGCAACCUGGACAGAGCAGUGCUAUGAGCAGGGACAGGGGGAGUGAGAGACAGCUCCUGGCCAGUUGCUGGGGUUUGCAGGCUGAGGCCUUGAGGCAAGGGCAAAGAGAAUGCUGGGGCCACGAGGAAGUGGCCAGACAAUUCACUGCAGUAGCCACUAAGGGAAGUGGCUGAACAGCAGACUGCAGGUCCACCGGAAGGGGGGAGCACAGUGUGUGGCACAGACAGAGGGCUGUGUCGCUGAAGAGGACGCUGCAGUCCUUGGAGAGACAUGGGUUCUAGAGCAGGAGUGAUGACAGCAAGACGCCACCUGAAGAGGGCGCAGAGCUAAUUCCCAAGACAGCCAGGAGGAGGCACCACUGUGGUGCUGCUGAGGUGGUGACCACGCUACUCACCGAAACUCAAUGGUGUUUUGUCAUUGCCAGACCUGUUUUUACACCUGCCUUCUGCGGGUGGUCUCAGUGCUCCUUGAACAGCAGCAGCAGCUUCGCAGGCAGGUCAAUGCCCGAGACUCUGCUGCUGUGUGAAGGAAUCUUCAACCCACCUGUGCUUUUCGGUGACCGGUCUCUCUUCUACGGAGGAACAGGACUUUGAGAUCGCAUAGCCAGGUCUACUUCUAAAACAAGGGGUUUAAGUAAAUCAAGGAGAUAGAUGGGGCUUUCAAGGCUACCGCUAUGGAUUCUCUAGGCAAAUGUCAAAGCAAAAUUGUUCAUCGUGAUGCUCUUGCAUGAAUGAAGCCACUGGAAACAAGGGUAGACUACAGAUCUAACCAAAUGUGUUAUACAAACUCUGCUUGUGGAUGCAAAUCUCUGGGACAGCAAGCAGGAAGAGACCUUUACUGCAUAAAAGUGUCUGCACCUCCGAUAUGGCAGCAUUGGGACAGAACAG